AAAAUUCUAAGCUGAUUCCUGAUAUGAGACAUGAAAGCAACUGAUACGGUGUUUUAAAUGUUGUCUGCUGGUAGCAACCUUUACAGAACUGUCAACUUACUGUAGGAAUAGGGGAAGUGAAGGCAAAAGGAGUUUGAAUUACAUGAUCACAUGGCAUCCACGGUCAGGAAUAAGUUUAAAAGACAAAUGAACCCAUGCCACUGCUAAGCUCUCUUUCUCCAUUUAUACAGUCAAGGACCCAGCCACGGAAUGAUUAUACCCACAGUGGUUGGAUUUUUUUCCUCCUCAACUGAAGUAAUCAAGAAAAUCUCCAACAAGCAUGUCCAGAAGUCUGUCACCCAGGUGAUUCUAGACUCUCUCAAGUUGACAAUUAAUGCCAUCACAGUGUCAUUCUAUGAAUAAUGUAAUAAUGUGAGGAGACAAAUACAAUUCCCUAACAAAGAUAGAUAAAAUUCUGUUUACUUUGUCAAAUCUUAUAGUCCUGCUAUACAAACCUAGGUGACAAUUAUGUGUGAAGCAAACCCGUGAAGUUUGACUCAUAACACUCUCAAUAACCAGCACAGGAACAUCCAGAUUCACUUCAUUCAUCUUCUGUGACCUUCUCCACUCAUCCCACGUGUACAUCAUGUCACGACCAUUCGCCACACCUAUUUUAUCCUGCCCUUGGCCUGGGCAAGGUCGGCUGCAGAAGUACUGAAGGUUCUAAUUGCGUUAAAGAAAUAUAAUGUCCAAAGUGGGCUUGUUCUCUUAGAUUCAUGAAGAAUUAUUGAACAUGACUUCUAACAUGCAUUUGAAGUUUCACGUUAACCUACAUUGUACGAAGAAGCCGGUAGUCAUAAUUUUAAUGGGUAAUGCUUUUUGAAUACACUUCUAUGCAAUUGGUUCUUUUUCUGGCGAAUUUAAAAUCAUAAUAUCAUUGCUAAUCAACUCACUGUUGUAUUUUUCCUUUUAAUUGUUUGAAAAUACACACUACAUUAAUAUAGUAUCUUAGCCAUUUCCAGUGUGCAGCGUGGUAUAGUAUGUGCAUUCAUGCUGCUGUACAAUCACUAUUAGUUUCUAGAAAAAGCUAUACUUUUUAUCAUCUUGCAAAACUGAAGCUCUACACCCUAUAACAAUAAGGUUUUCUUUUGCCCAGUUUCUAGAAUCAAAUUUCUACUUGGGACAUCAUGUGAGUGGACUCCUAGCAUUUGUCCUUUUGAAACUGGCUGAUUUUGUUUUUCAUAACAUCCUUAGGGCUCAUGUGUGUUCUAGCAUAUGUAAUUCUGUGGUUGAGUGAGUAAAGAUGUAUAUUUGUGUGCUUUGGUAUGACAGAUAAACAUCACUUUUUGAACAUGUGAAAUAUAGUAUCAGAGUUUAACAAUUUAAUUAAAUUUGAAUGAUACCAUACAACUAGAGGGUGCUGUAUUGUGCGACACAUAUCUAUAUACUCUAUAUGAAUCAGUUUCUGGUUUAUCAGUUUUAGAUAUCUUUCUUAUAGCUAUAAUAUAUCAUAUCUAACUCAUAUACAUCAUCUCUAUUCAAGCACUAUCAUAUUUGAAAAAAAUUGUUUCUCAUAACUUUUUCUUAGUAACUUAAAGAAAAUAACACAUUCCUUGUGUCCCCCACAGUAGUAUAAAACAAAUAAAGGUUGCAUGAUAAUA